CUAAUGACCAUCAGUUUCUUUUGCAACAUAUGGUCAUUCAGCAACAAUGGUCAUGCGGACCAAUACAUUACUGUUAUUGUUUAGCAGUCAUUCGGCUUUGUCUAUUUUGGUUUUGAUGGUGCGCAAUAGGUGCACUGGCAUCCCCCCGAAACACACUCGCCUACACUGCCGUAGCCAAUACUGUUCCGACAAUUUUGAGAGCACGACGCAGGGGCGCAGGGGCCUGGGCUGACGGGUAGUGUCCUGCAGUCUUGAGGUGUAAAUGAACCAUGACCAUGUGCAACCUCCUUUGCCGCCAUCGCGAUAUCUGAGGAACAAAUUUCAAAAGAAAACAAAAAUGUAUAAAAUACCAUAACAUUUCUAAGAAAAUGAAACGGAUUUAGAAGGACAUGCGUGUACCCAAAGGAAAUUACAAGUAUGUACCUGAGUACUGCACCACGAGAGCAACGACAAUCAACAAUGUGCAGGAUAUCCUCAUCCUAGCUAGGUUUGUUGGGGGAUGGCUGUGAUUUGUGAACUACUGCACCACAAAAUUGUGAAAGCAGAUGAUGAUAUGGUGCUUUCCACCCCUCCUGGGA
rnacentral:lncRNA from 1 species